UCUUCCGUAGUAUAGUGGUUAGUAUAUGAGCUUGUCAUCAUCCCUCACACAAGGGAAUAUAGACCCGCUCGGGACCCGGGUUCAAUUCCCGGCGGGAGAG